CGGGCGGCUCCAGCAGUGGGGAAUAUUGCACAAUGGAGGAAACUCUGAUGCAGCAACGCCGCGUGGAGGAUGACACUUUUCGGAGCGUAAACUCCUUUUAUAUAGGAAGAAGAUGACGGUACUAUAUGAAUAAGCGCCGGCUAACUCCGUGCCAGCAGCCGCGGUAAUACGGAGGGCGCAAGCGUUACUCGGAAUCACUGGGCGUAAAGAGCGUGUAGGCGGAUUAAAAAGUCAGAAGUGAAAUCCUAUAGCUUAACUAUAGAACUGCUUCUGAAACUCUUAAUCUAGAAUAUGGGAGAGGUAGAUGGAAUUUCUGGUGUAGGGGUAAAAUCCGUAGAGAUCAGAAGGAAUACCGAUUGCGAAGGCGAUCUACUAGAACAUUAUUGACGCUGAGACGCGAAAGCGUGGGGAGCAAACAGGAUUAGAUACCCUCGUAGUC
rnacentral:rRNA from 1 species